CUGAGGGGAGCCAGGGCUAGAGGUCCUGAAACGUUUCUCUGAGAAGACUAGCGAGCAGAAAAUACCAUCGUAUUGCCAUCUUGCCCUCAGGAAGCCGAGUGACAGCUCAGUAGACUUACGGCUUAGUGUGUGUUACCUCGCUUAGAAGAGUCCUCCCACAGCCAAAGUUUCCAGAACCACUUCUACAUGUUCUCACAGGAUGAGCAUCCAUCACUGCUCUGAAAAGCGCUGCACGGAAAGAGCAAAACAAAGAAAAGCCUAAGGGGUGGGGGAAGGCAGUUUCUGUUUUACAGACUGGGGCCUCGCAGGCAGGACAGAUGUUAACCGAGAUGGAGUAACUUCACAUCAACACUCCAAAGAUGUUCACUUAAGAAUGGACAUGUCAGGUUUCGGCAACCCUGAGGGGACCCUGCUUCUGAAUCUCCACAGUUCCUGGGAUCGCAGGACCUCCAGCUGGCACCAAGGCAUUCUCAGGAAGAACCUCCUGUCCCUGGACCAAAGAGCUGAAGCAAGACUCCCUGGGAGAGAUACAUACAGAAAGACAUUACACACUGAGGGUGAUCACUGCUGGUCCUAUCAAGACAUCAGUUCACAAAUGCUCAGUCCCUGGCCUGAGGACACUGAACCUGAGAGGCAACAGAGUGCGUGCAACAAGGUAACAGCAGCAGGACUUCGGUAACACACAGGCACAGUUAUUAUUUCAUACCUUUCUAACAAUGCAGAAUUAAGGUGAAGUAUUUCAUCCCAUCCUAAAAAAAGGGUUCCCCUAUUAGAGCCAACAUAUCAAAACCUCUCCUCAUGGGAAUUGCAUCCACUGAUUGCAAUUAAAAACAACUGUAGGUGCUUCCAUGAAUUAACAACCCCCCAGCAGGGCAUACAGAGCCCAUGCAUGCUGUAAAUCCACAAGAUGUGUAAACCCUUGGGAUUUAGGAGUACUUGCAGGUAGCAUUUGUAAGAAAAUCCUCUAGGAAUACCUUUGGAAUGGUCACCACUGAAAUAAAAGUACUGCUCAAUGAAAA